rnacentral:rRNA from 1 species
AUUGAACGCUGGCGGCAGGCCUAACACAUGCAAGUCGAGCGAGCGGCGGACGGGUGAGUAAUGUAUGGGGAACUGCCCGAUAGAGGGGGAUAACUACUGGAAAAGGUGGCUAAUACCGCAUACUAUCGGAUGUGCCCAUGUGGGAUUAGCUAGUGGGUGGGGUAAAGGCUCACCUAGGCGACGAUCCCUAGCUGGUCUGAGAGGAUGACCAGCCACACUGGGACCGAGACACGGCCCAGACUCCUACGGUAGGCAGCAGUGGGGAAUAUUGCACAAUGGGCGCAAUCCUGAUGCAGCCAUGCCGCGUGUAUGAAGAAGGCCUUAGGGUUGUAAAGUACUUUCAGCGGGGAGGCGUUACCCGCAGAAGAAGCACCGGCUAACUCCGUGCCAGCAGCCGCGGUAAUAC